GAACACCAAAGCCCUAAACACUAACGAUUCGGCUACCGACGCCCGUCGCCCUCUCGCUACGAACCCGAGCUUGGAAGCGCUCCCCAUGGAGAUCAAUUCAGGGAGGCUGCCCUUUGAUUUGCCCUUCCACCCUGCCUCCCCUCUCGUGGCGGACGGCGGUCUUCACCUGUUAGUUCCGAUCCUGGCCACGAUUCUAACUUUGUCAUGUGGACGAAGCUAUCACCUAAUAUCUUUCGAAACCCGCGCUGACAGGUACCGCUACGCCGCCGAAUCGCAGCCUCAAAGGUUUGGGAUAUCCGGAAAGGUGAUUGUUGCAAUACAUUUCAUGCCCAUGAAGAUUAUGUCUCAGACGUUUCUUUUGUCUCUGAUACCAUGCAACUUUUGGGAACAAGGUUGGUAAGCAUUCUACCAAAUAGGAUAAUUAAACCACUUGCAGAGCAUUCAGAAUACCCAAUCGAGCUCAUUGUAUUUCACAUGAUCAAAUGUUCAAGGUGAGGUCAUCACACAGCAUUUAACACUAUCGACAUCAAGUGCAGCGGACUCGUAGUCUGUGGCAAGACUCCAGUUAGCAUUUAAGUCCUUUUGCUCUGAACAUCCAAAAGACGCAUUUUAGCACAAAAGGAGAUUUUUCUUUUGUUUUUAAUCCAUUUGUUGCUCCAAUCCAUUAUUCUUGUCCAAGAGGGUGUAAUUUAUGUGAAACAGCACAGCACAACAUUGUCAUAUGCCCAAUGCCUGCCUGAAGGCAUAUGUUCUAAUGACAGUAUGCCAGUAUUUGUCUCAAA